rnacentral:lncRNA from 1 species
UUGUGAAUUGCUGGAGUUCCGUUCCCAGCUAUGUCGUUACAGCCUGAAAUUUGAAGAAGGUCAUCAACGAUGUUUGAGGUCCGGUGAGUUUUGACAGGUAGGAUACAAUUGUCGCUAGAUUUGUUCGCACUGUCAAAAAGAUGGAGGUCCGGCGAGCUUUCACCGGUGAUAGAGGGAGGUGGCUGACAGUGGUUCACAAGCAGGUCGACGACGUGAAGCUGAAGGGUCGUACAAUUCAGUUAAGAGAUUAUUUUCCAGAGCACGUACAAUUAGAGAACUACAAUGACAUAAUAGGGUUUUACAAUUUCAGCUUUUACGUUGUGAUCAAACUCCUUAGCUAGUACUUAAAUAUAGUAAUUGUUAAUCAUUAUUCUAUCUGUACUUAGUUUCUAGGUUUAUUACUUGUAAACACUCAUGGAUAUGUGUAGUAC